rnacentral:rRNA from 1 species
GGUUGAUCCUGCCGGAGGUUACUGCUAUCGAGAUUCGACUAAGCCAUGCGAGUUGAAUGUUCUUCGUGAACAUGGCGGACUGCUCAGUAACACGUGGACAACCUACCCUCGGGUCCGGCAUAAUCCUGGGAAACUGGGGAUAAUUCCGGAUAGGUCACAGAAGCUGGACUGCUCUGUGUCCCAAAGCUCCGGCGCCCGAGGAUGGGUCUGCGGCCUAUCAGGGUUGUAGUGGGUGUAAUGUACCUACUAGCCUACGACGGGUACGGGUUGUGAGAGCAAGAGCCCGGAGAUGGAUUCUGAGACACGAAUCCAGGCCCUACGGGGUGCAGCAGGCGCGAAAACUUUACAAUGCGGGAAACCGUGAUAAGGGAAUCUCGAGUGCCAGCAUAUAAUGUUGGCU